AGGGUUUGAUCAUGGCUCAGGACGAACGCUGGCGGCGUGCUUAACACAUGCAAGUCGAGCGGAGAUGUUCGGAGUGCUUGCACACUGAACAUUUCAGCGGCGGACGGGUGAGUAACGCGUGAACAAUCUGUCCCAUACAGGGGGAUAACAGAUGGAAACAUCUGCUAAUACCGCAUAAGACCACGAAGCCACAUGGCUAUGGGGUAAAAGGAGCAAUCCGGUAUGGGGUGAGUUCGCGUCCGAUUAGCUUGUUGGUGAGGUAACGGCCCACCAAGGCGACGAUCGGUAGCCGACCUGAGAGGGUGAUCGGCCACACUGGAACUGAGAGACGGUCCAG
rnacentral:rRNA from 1 species